UGGGGAAUAUUGCACAAUGGGCGCAAGCCUGAUGCAGCAACGCCGCGUGAGGGACGACGGCCUUCGGGUUGUAAACCUCUUUUAGUAGGGAAGAAGCGAAAGUGACGGUACCUGCAGAAAAAGCACCGGCUAACUACGUGCCAGCAGCCGCGGUAAUACGUAGGGUGCGAGCGUUGUCCGGAAUUAUUGGGCGUAAAGAGCUCGUAGGCGGUCUGUCGCGUCUGCUGUGAAAACCCGAGGCUCAACCUCGGGCCUGCAGUGGGUACGGGCAGACUAGAGUGCGGUAGGGGGAGAAUGGAAUUCCUGGUGUAGCGGUGGAAUGCGCAGAUAUCAGGAGGAACACCGAUGGCGAAGGCAGUUCUCUGGGCCGUAACUGACGCUGAGGAGCGAAAGCGUGGGGAGCGAACAGGAUUAGAUACCCUGGUAGUCCACGCCGUAAACGUUGGGCGCUAGAUGUGGGGACCAUUCCACGGUUUCCGUGUCGCAGCUAACGCAUUAAGCGCCCCGCCUGGGGAGUACGGCCGCAAGGCU
rnacentral:rRNA from 1 species